GAUGAACGCUAGCUACAGGCUUAACACAUGCAAGUCGUGGGGCAUCAUGAUGUAGUAAUACAUUGAUGGCGACCGGCGCACGGGUGAGUAACGCGUAUCCAACCUACCCUCCACUCAAGUAUAGGCUUCCGAAAGGGAGAUUAAUCCUUGAUAUCGUCAUUCUCUCUCCUGUUAGAAUGAUAAAAGGACAUCGUUUCGGUAGAGGAUGGGGAUGCGUUCCAUUAGGUAGUAGGUGGUUUAACAGGCCACCUAGCCGAUGAUGGAUAGGGGUUCUGAGAGGAAUAUCCCCCACACUGGUACUGAGAUACGGACCAGACUCCUACGGGAGGCAGCAGUGAGGAAUAUUGGUCAAUGGGCGCAAGCCUGAACCAGCCAUGUAGCGUGAAGGAUGACGGUUUUUUUGAUUGUAAACUUCUUUUCUGUGCGAUUAAAGUGUGGCAUUUAUGCCAUAUUGC
rnacentral:rRNA from 1 species